rnacentral:lncRNA from 10 species
GUCAAUAGAAAAACAGUCAAAGAACAUGAAAAGGAAGUCACACGCUGACACACACAAACACACACACACAUACACUUCCACAAAUGCCCAGUCAACAGAUGAAAGCUCAAUCAACAUUAAACAGGACAUGGUUUUUGCCCAUUGGAAUUAGCAAUACAAUGUUAUCAAGUAUGGAAAUAUUAUUGUGCAUUAUGAAUGGAAGAGUAACCAAAAGAGACUUUCUGGAAAGCGGUUCAUGCUUUUACACAGCUAUUCCACUUACAGGUUUUUACCCUAAGGAGAAAUUACCCAUGUGCUGAAAGACAUAUGCACCAGAGUGUUCACCUAUUAUUUAUAAUGUUAAAGACAUAUAAA